rnacentral:rRNA from 1 species
AUGUUGUUUAAUUCGACGCAACGCGAGAACUUACCAGGCCUUGACAUACUCGGCAAAGCUCUAGAGAUAGAGUGGAGGUUAUCCGGGAUACAGGUGGUGCAUGGUUGUCGUCAGCUCGUGUCGUGAGAUGUUGGGUUAAGUCCCGCAACGAGCGCAACCCUUGUCUUUAGUUACCAUCAUUAAGUUGGGGACUCUAGAGGAGACUGCCGGUGAUAAACCGGAGGAAGGUGGGGAUGACGUCAAAUCAUCAUGCCCCUUAUGGCCUGGGCUACAAACGUAAUACAAUGGCGUAUACAAAGGGAUGCGAAAGGGCGACCUGGAGCAAAACUCACAAAGUACGUCUCAGUUCAGAUUGGAGUCUGCAACUCGACUCCAUGAAGGCGGAAUCGCUAGUAAUCGCGGAUCAGCAUGCCGCGGUGAAUACGUUCUCGGGGUCU